rnacentral:rRNA from 1 species
AACGAACGCUAGCGGCAGGCUUAACACAUGCAAGUCGAGCGCCCCGCAAGGGGAGCGGCAGACGGGUGAGUAACGCGUGGGAAUCUACCCAUCUCUACGGAAUAACGCAUGGAAACGUGUGCUAAUACCGUAUACGUCCUUCGGAAGAAAGAUUUAUCGGAGAUGGAUGAGCCCGCGUUGGAUUAGCUAGUUGGUGGGGUAAAGGCCUACCAAGGCGACGAUCCAUAGCUGGUCUGAGAGGAUGAUCAGCCACACUGGGACUGAGACACGGCCCAGACUCCUACGGGAGGCAGCAGUGGGGAAUAUUGGACAAUGGGCGCAAGCCUGAUCCAGCCAUGCCGCGUGGGUGAUGAAGGCCCUAGGGUUGUAAAGCUCCUUCACCGGUGAAGAUAAUGACGGUAACCGGAGAAGAAGCCCCGGCUAACUUCGUGCCAGCCGCCGCAGUAACAC